CCUACGGGAGGCAGCAGUGGGGAAUAUUGGACAAUGGGCGAAAGCCUGAUCCAGCAAUUCCGCGUGUGUGAAGAAGGCCUUCGGGUUGUAAAGCACUUUAGUGGGGAAGAAACAGCUUGGCCACACCAAGCCUUGACGGUACCCCAAGAAUAAGCACCGGCUAACUCUGUGCCAGCAGCCGCGGUAAUACAGAGGGUGCAAGCGUUAAUCGGAUUUACUGGGCGUAAAGGGUGCGUAGGUGGCUAUUUAAGUCGGAUGUGAAAGCCCGGGGCUCAACCUCGGAAUUGCAUUCGAUACUGAGUGGCUAGAGUUCGGUAGAGGGCGGCGGAAUUUCCGGUGUAGCGGUGAAAUGCGUAGAUAUCGGAAGGAACAUCAAUGGCGAAGGCAGCCGCCUGGGCCUGGACUGACACUGAGGCACGAAAGCGUGGGUAGCAAACAGGAUUAGAUACCCUGGUAGUCCACGCCGUAAACGAUGAGAACUUGACGUUGGUCGUUUUACGAAUCGGUGUCGCAGCUACGACGAUAAGUUCUCCGCCGUCGGGAGGUACGGCCGCGAACGGUUAGUAACGUACGAAAGGAAGUUAGUACGGCGUGAGACGUGCCGACGGACGACGACGAGGGAGGAGG
rnacentral:rRNA from 1 species